rnacentral:tRNA from 1 species
GGUUGAAGCUCAGUAGGUAGAGUGCUUGCCUGGCAUACAUGAAGCCCUGGGUUCAAUCCCCAGCACCA